rnacentral:rRNA from 1 species
AUGUUACGAGGCAACAUACUAUCCGCCACCGUAGGGGCAACACGGGCACGAGCCCUUCACGUUUCCACAAUCCCGUCGCCGCACAGCCUCCCCUGGCGCCGCCACGAGCCGUCGCGAGACGCCGGGAAUGGAGAAUCCCGACGGGGCGAGGAAGAAGAAGGGGAGGAGGAGAAGCGGCGGCGAGGCGUCCGCCUCCUUCGACCGCGACGUCUUCCCCAUCCUCCUCGCGGCCGUCACGCCAACGACCGGACCGAACCAACGCGCCUCCUCCUCCGCCGCCGCCGCCGCGCGCCUCCUGCGCCGCCUUCUCUCCCGCUCGCCCCCGGCGCCGGCGCUCUCCCCUCUCCCCGGAUCCCUCGUCGCGCUCCUACCGCUCCUCCUCUCCUCCAGCUCGCAUUCCGUGGCCGCGCUGAGCUGCGAGGUGAUGGGCGCGGCGGCGCUGCAGUCCAUGGAGGCCGCCGAGGCGCUAGCAUCCGACGGCGGGGUCGCCGGUGGCUUGGCGCGGGCGCUGGGGGGUGGCAGCCAGCGAGUGGCCGAGGCUGCCUGCAAUGCCGUGAUGGAUCUGUCGGCGUCUCCGGUUGGCAGGGAACGUCUCUCGGGCUCCCCUGUUCUGCCGAGGCUAUUGUGGAAUCUAUUUCCAGGGCUGUUGGUAGCGGGAGCACCGGGUGCCAAGCAAGAGUUUCAGAGCCAAGUAAAUGUUUGUACUUGAUCGUCGACACAGUGGUGCUCAUGGUGAACUCCUGUAAAGUCGGCAAGUUACACAAUCUGCAACAGGAGCUAGUUAGAAAAGUUACGCUUUUGUUGUAUGAAGUAUGGAGCAAAGUUAGACUCUUGCAGUCAUCAACAGACUGCACCAACUGGAAGGAUCAACUUCAAAGCAGACCAUAUGAGAUAUCUGAAGCUAUUUUUAGGCUUACGAUGGAUCUUGAUUGUCCAGCCCACCUGGAACCUGAUGAAGUCAGAAAAAGCUUUUUUGGACAAACGGAAUCUGAUGUCGAAAAGUUUGCCCUGAUGUACUGGGAAAACUCACCUUAUUUAUACAGGAAGAGACAAAGUGAUCUGGAGGGGGAUGAUGUGUUCACUGCAUUGCAUAACGCUUUUGAUCUUAGAACACCAGAUGCUAUUGUCGAGUCAUUCAUACGGGGCCUUGUUUCUUGCCCUGCUAUUGCUUCGGAUGAACUAAACAUAGAUUCAUUUCUUGAUGAGGUUCACGAUUCCUUGGGUGCUCCUGUGAAGUAUAGGCAAGAUGUAAGAGUCGUGAGAACACGAGAUCAGACCUCAACAGGAUCUGGGGUGGAGGAGCAUUUCUUUGAUGAUGGCAUGGUCUUCCCAGAUGGAACUGCAUUUGUUGAACAAUGUAAGGACGCAAUCAAGAAUGGUUUCUCAAUCGCCUUGCGUGGCAUGGAGUUCCGGUCUGAAAAAGUUGCUGCUAUAGCCUCUGCUCUAGCUGAUCUAUUUGGUCAGCCUUCUGUAGGGGCCAACAUAUACUUCUCACCCCCAGGAUCUCAAGGCCUGGCCCGGCAUUAUGACGACCACUGUGUGCUUGUUUGGCAGCUACUUGGGCGCAAGAAGUGGAAGAUCUGGCCCAAUACAAAGUCAAUUUUGCCUAGACUAUAUGAACCCUUUCACUCUUUAGAUGGCUUGGUGGAUGAUAGUGGCGGAAGGGUGGAAGUUCUACAUGAAGGAGACAUAAUGUAUGUUCCUAGAGGCCAUGUGCAUGAGGCUCACACUGACGUCGACGAAGGUGAAUCUGAAGUCGACGUGUCCACCAACUACUCGCUCCAUUUGACCCUUGCCAUCGAAGUUGAGCCACCCUUUGAAUGGGAAGGGUUUGUGCACAUUGCUCUGCACUGCUGGUUGGAGGAGCAGGAACUUGUGAGGAGCCCUGGAUCUGUCCAGUCCAAGCUGGAAGAACAAGCUCCGUUAUUUGCUCUCCUGCUGCAUGUGGCCAUCAGGUUGCUCUCCAACAGCGAUCCUAGCCUUCGAAAAGCGUGCAUGGUUGCGGCAAAGCUCCCGUCAUCCAGUAACUCUCUGAGAAGCAGCCAUAGGUCAACCUUCGCUGAGAUACUCCACAACAUCAACAGGAACUGUGGCUUCGAGGAUGCGCUGAGGUCAGUCGAGCUCGUGGUCAAGGAGAGAAACGAUGAGCCCUUCCAGUGGAUGUCCUGGCUCCGGCAUCUCCCGCAGCAGCACGGUCGCAGCAGGAUCGACUUCUGCGACGUCCUGGGGCCCUUGGAAGAGCUUCUUGACAUGUUCAUCUCCGAUCGUGAGCGAGCCUCGGCCGAUUUCGCCGAUUUCAAGUCAAGGUUCUGUAGUCGUGCCGUGUACGACGACGCCUGCAGGGAGUUCGAGGCGCUGCUCGUUCUGUAUCGGACGGCUCGGACGCGGUACGCCAAGGGCAUGCUCGCGUUGCACGGGAAGCAUGGUGGGUGA